AAGGUUAAAACUCAAAUGAAUUGACGGGGGCCCGCACAAGCGGUGGAGCAUGUGGUUUAAUUCGAUGCAACGCGAAGAACCUUACCUGGUCUUGACAUCCACAGAACUUUCCAGAGAUGGAUUGGUGCCUUCGGGAACUGUGAGACAGGUGCUGCAUGGCUGUCGUCAGCUCGUGUUGUGAAAUGUUGGGUUAAGUCCCGCAACGAGCGCAACCCUUAUCCUUUGUUGCCAGCGGUUAGGCCGGGAACUCAAAGGAGACUGCCAGUGAUAAACUGGAGGAAGGUGGGGAUGACGUCAAGUCAUCAUGGCCCUUACGACCAGGGCUACACACGUGCUACAAUGGCAUAUACAAAGAGAAGCGACCUCGCGAGAGCAAGCGGACCUCAUAAAGUAUGUCGUAGUCCGGAUUGGAGUCUGCAACUCGACUCCAUGAAGUCGGAAUCGCUAGUAAUCGUAGAUCAGAAUGCUACGGUGAAUACGUUCCCGGGCCUUGUACACACCGCCCGUCACACCAUGGGAGUGGGUUGCAAAAGAAGUAGGUAGCUUAACCUUCGGGAGGGCGCUUACCACUUUGUGAUUCAUGACUGGGGUGAAGUCGUAACAAGGUAACCGUAGGGGAACCUGCGGUUGGAUCACCUCCUUA
rnacentral:rRNA from 1 species